rnacentral:rRNA from 1 species
GAGUUUGAUCCUGGCUCAGGACGAACGCUGGCGGCGUGCUUAACACAUGCAAGUCGAACGAGAAUCUACUGAAAGAGUUUUCGGACAAUGGAAGUAGAGGAAAGUGGCGGACGGGUGAGUAACGCGUGAGGAACCUGCCUUGAAGAGGGGACAACAGUUGGAAACGACUGCUAAUACCGCAUGAUGCAUAAGGGUCGCAUGAUUCUUAUGCCAAAGAUUUAUCGCUUCAAGAUGGCCUCGCGUCUGAUUAGCUAGUUGGCGGGGUAACGGCCCACCAAGGCGACGAUCAGUAGCCGGACUGAGAGGUUGAACGGCCACAUUGGGACUGAGAUACGGCCCAGACUCCUACGGGAGGCAGCAGUGGGGAAUAUUGGGCAAUGGGCGCAAGCCUGACCCAGCAACGCCGCGUGAAGGAAGAAGGCUUUCGGUAUGUAAACUUCUAUCAGCAGGAAGAAAUGACGGUACCUGACUAAGAAGCCCGGCUAACUACGUGCCAGCCGCCGCCGUAAC